rnacentral:rRNA from 1 species
UACGAAGGGGGCUAGCGUUGCUCGGAAUUACUGGGCGUAAAGGGCGCGUAGGCGGCCGAUCAAGUCAGGCGUGAAAUUCCCGGGCUCAACCUGGGGGCUGCGCUUGAGACUGGUUGGCUAGAGGCCGAGAGAGGGUGGUGGAAUUCCCAGUGUAGAGGUGAAAUUCGUAGAUAUUGGGAAGAACACCGGUGGCGAGGGCGGCCACCUGGCUCGGUACUGACGCUGAGGCGCGACAGCGUGGGGAGCAAACAGG